GUUUGAUCCUGGCUCAGAGCGAACGUUAGCGGCAGGCUUAACACAUGCAAGUCGAGCGACAAAGGGGCUUCGGCCCUGAGUAGAGCGGCGGACGGGUGCGUAACACGUGGAUAAUCUGCCUCGUGGCGGGGGAUAACAGUCCGAAAGGACUGCUAAUACCGCAUGUCAGGUCGGAAACCCCGGUUUCUGACGAAAAAAGAGGGCGCCCGCAAGGGGCUCUCACCACGAGAUGAGUCCGCGGCCCAUCAGCUAGUUGGCGGUGUAAUAGACCACCAAGGCUAAGACGGGUAGCUGGUCUGAGAGGAUGACCAGCCACACUGGGACUGAGACACGGCCCAGACUCCUACGGGAGGCAGCAGUGGGGAAUAUUGGACAAUGGGCGAAAGCCUGAUCCAGCCAUGCCGCGUGAGUGAUGAAGGUCUUCGGAUCGUAAAGCUCUGUGGAAGGGACGAAAAAAGCCUAACCUAAUACGUUAGGUCUUGACGGUACCUUCUUAGCAAGCACCGGCUAACUCCGUGCCAGC
rnacentral:rRNA from 1 species